CCUACGGGAGGCAGCAGUAAGGAAUAUUGGACAAUGCUCGCAAGAGUGAUCCAGCCAUGCCGCGUGCAGGAAGAAUGCCCUAUGGGUAGUAAACUGCUUUUGAACUAGAGAAAACCCCAGUACGUGUACUGGGCUGAUAGUAUAGUUAGAAUAAGCAUCGGCUAACUUCGUGCCAGCAGCCGCGGUAAGACGAAGGAUGCAAGCGUUAUCCGGAUUCAUUGGGUUUAAAGGGAGCGUAGGUGGACUGAUAAGUCAGUGGUGAAAUCUCCGAGCUUAACUCGGAAAUUGCCAUUGAUACUGUUGGUCUUGAGUACAGUUGCUGUGGGCGGAAUAUGACAUGUAGUGGUGAAAUACAUAGAGAUGUCAUAGAACACCGAUUGCGAAGGCAGCUCACAAAGCUGUAACUGACACUGAGGCUCGAAAGUGCGGGGAUCAAACAGGAUUAGAUACCCUGGUAGUCCGCACCGUAAACGAUGAUUACUCGCUGCUAGGGGGCAACCUUUAGUGGCUUAGCGAAAGCGAUAAGAAUCCACCUGGGGAGUACGCCGGCAACGGUGAAACUCAAANAGAGUAGAGACGNGAGAGNGCGAGCGACGACGAGGGAGAGG
rnacentral:rRNA from 1 species